rnacentral:lncRNA from 1 species
GGAAAAUCUAGCCAGUCUUUCUACUUCCUCCUCUCAUGAAGACGUCGUUUCCUCCACUAAAGGAAAAGCUGCCUCACGUGUGGAAGUAUUUUCAUCAGGUUUAUAUGAAAAUGAAAUCAUCGAGUUGUCAGAGGAGGAAGAGGAAACGGAAGCUAAGGAAAAUGUUUUUCCUGCUUCACAUCUGGAGGAGAGGCUCUCAGCUUUGGAAUCGCAGGUUGAAGGUCUUACUUCAGCCCUUGGAAAGCUCAGUGAUCUGGAGAAACAUCUGGAUGAUCUAAAGAGGGAAAAGACUGAAGGACAGGUCAUCAGUGUAUCCAGAGAGAGCUGGGAGAACCUGAACAUCAGAGUUCUACUCCUGGAAACUAAACUGGAAUUGAGCAGUGUGCAGACGGAGCAGAGCCAAAGUGUGACCUGCUCGUAUCCGUCCGGCUCCGUGUGCGAUUCAUCGAAGAAGGAAACUGAAGACAGGCUGGAGAGGAUUAACAACAUGUAUGUUCUUCUGUUGUCUUCAUGAGAACUGCACAUUUAGGAGCAGCUUUCCUCUAACACAACUUUGUUUGUUUGUUUUUCUUAGGCUGAAGAGCACUUCCAGUCUUUUGCAGAACACAUAAUCCUCACUGACACUGCAAAUAAUUACAAUUAAUUUAUUACAUUUGAUU